rnacentral:rRNA from 1 species
GUAACACGUGGGCAAUCUGCCCUGCACUCUGGGACAAGCCCUGGAAACGGGGUCUAAUACCGGAUAUGACUGUCCGUCGCAUGGUGGAUGGUGUAAAGCUCCGGCGGUGCAGGAUGAGCCCGCGGCCUAUCAGCUUGUUGGUGAGGUAGUGGCUCACCAAGGCGACGACGGGUAGCCGGCCUGAGAGGGCGACCGGCCACACUGGGACUGAGACACGGCCCAGACUCCUACGGGAGGCAGCAGUGGGGAAUAUUGCACAAUGGGCGAAAGCCUGAUGCAGCGACGCCGCGUGAGGGAUGACGGCCUUCGGGUUGUAAACCUCUUUCAGCAGGGAAGAAGCGAAAGUGACGGUCCCUGCUGAAGAUGCGCCGGCUUUCUUCGUGCCUGCCGCCGCGGUCCUCCGUUGGGCGCCUGCGUUGUCCGGCUUUUUUGGGCGUGUCGAGCUCGUUGGCGGCUUGUCUCGUCGGUUGUGUUCGCCCGGGGCUUCCCCCCGGGUCUGCCGUCGUUUCGGGCUGGCUUGCGUUCGGUUGGGGUGCUCGGUUUUCCUGGUGUUGCGGUGUUUUGCGCCGAUUUCCGGAGGCUCCCCGGUGGCGAAGGCGGAUCUCUGGGCCGAUUCUGACGCUGAGGAGCGAACGCGUGGGGAGCGAACCGGAUUAUAUACCCUGGUAGUCCACGCCGUAAACGGUGGGC